rnacentral:piRNA from 1 species
UUUCAGUGGCUUUAGCUUUGUGAGUGUGA